GAUGAACGCUGGCGGCGUGCCUAAUACAUGCAAGUCGAGCGGAGUCUGAGAAGCUUGCUUCUCAGACUUAGCGGCGGACGGGUGAGUAACACGUGGGCAACCUGCCUGUAAGAUCGGGAUAACUUCGGGAAACCGGAGCUAAUACCGGAUAAUAUGAGAGACCUCAUGGUCUCCCAUUGAAAGAUGGUUUCGGCUAUCGCUUACAGAUGGGCCCGCGGCGCAUUAGCUAGUUGGUGAGGUAACGGCUCACCAAGGCGACGAUGCGUAGCCGACCGGAGGGGGUGAUCGGCCACACUGGGACUGAGACACGGCCCAGACUCCUACGGGAGGCAGCAGUAGGGAAUCUUCGGCAAUGGGCGAAAGCCUGACCGAGCAACGCCGCGUGAGCGAUGAAGGCCUUCGGGUCGUAAAGCUCUGUUGUCAGGGAAGAACAAGUACCGGAGUAACUGCCGGUGCCUUGACGGUACCUGACCAGAAAGCCACGGUUAACUACGUGCCAGCCGCCGCGGUAAAAC
rnacentral:rRNA from 1 species